ensembl:lncRNA
UGUUAGGCAGAUGAUUUGAGGCCUGAAUGCUGAUUGACUGAAAGCCGUGGAAUGUCAGACCAACAAAAUAUUUAUUUGUACCGCUCUAGUUACGUUGGUAACCAGUUUAUAAUAGCAAUAAGGCACCUCGGGGGGUUGUAAUAUAUUGAUAUACCAAAAGGCAAAGGGCUGUGUUCUAGCACUCCGCGUUGCGUCGUGAUUAAGAACAGCCCUUAGCUGUUGUUUAUUGGCCAUAUACCACACAAUUGCUUAUUGCUUAAAUAUACCGUGUUGAUUUGUUAUUGUGCAUUCCUGCAUCCAGGAGCGCCUUCUUACGGUUUUCCUGCAUGCUCAAGUCAUUGUGCUACACUGGGAGAGCGGAGCAGUACAGCACCGGUUACAUUGGUGACUUCUAGACCCGGAUUCAUCGAUGAUCAACGUCAGCUCGAUCACCGUGGAGCUGCUGCUCUAGAGACUGUUUACAUCAUGAGCAGCAGGCGGGUCCGAGUCUGCUGAUCAGUGUGAUCAAAGACCUCGUGGAAGACCUCAAUCUGAUAGGACACAGCUUCCUGGACUUGCUCAGCUGACCCACCCUGCCCUUUUCACUGUCCGUCUGAGCUGGAUUCAAAUAGUAUUUGCUUUCUUUCAAAUACUUUGAGCAUUUGAUUGAUCCGGUCUGAUGCACGGUUGCACAUUAUGGGACUAUUGGACGGCAGGUGAAGUAUUUUAAAAUGAAAGGGAUGUUUAUUUAAACCAGGUCUGAUGCUGAUAACCAUUAUUAAAGGGACAUGCCACUUUGUUGGCAACACAUCUCUCUCUUUCUGUGUUUCGCACUCAAAGCUCCCAUCCAUCUGAACUAAGAUGUGACUGUUUUGAGUUGUUCAAUAUGUUGGGUGAUAUUCAACAAAUAAAUACGCUUUCUAUUGCUUUA